rnacentral:rRNA from 1 species
GUGUCAGCAGCCGCGGUAAUACAGAGACCCCGAGCGUUAUCCGGAUUUACUGGGCGUAAAGCGUGAGCAGCCGGUCGUAUUAGUCUGAUGUAAAAGGACGGGGCCCAACUUCGUCAUCGCAUUAGAGACGGUACGACUAGAGUGGGUAAGAGGUAGGCGGAACGUGUAGUGUAGGGGUGAAAUCCACUGAUAUUACACGGAACACCAAAAGCGAAGGCAGCCUACUGGUGCCCUACUGACGGUCAGUUACGAAAGCGUGGGGAUCAAAAAGGAUUAGAUACCCUUGUAGUCCACGCCCUAAAGGAUGUCUACUAGCUAUCGGGAGCAUCGACCCUUCCGGUGGCGAAGCUAACGCGUUAAGUAGACCGCCUGGGAAGUACGAGCGCAAGCUUAAAACUCAAAGAAAUAGGCGGGAACUCGCACAAGCAGUGGAUCAUGUGGUUCAAUUCGACUCUAACCGAGGAACCUCACCAAGGCUUGAAAUCCAGCUGCACGCUUGGGAAACCAAGAAGCCUUCGAGGGUGCUGGACAGGUGCUGCACGGCUGUCGUCAGCUCGUCACGUGAGUGGUCUCCUUAAGUGGAUUAACGAGCGCAACCCCUACGGUGUGUUAUACGUGUCACGCCGGACUGCUCCGGUAACGGAGAGGAAGGUGGGGACGACGUCAAGUCAGCGUGGCCCUCUGAUGCCUUGGGCUACACACAUGAUACAAUGGGCGUUACAACGGGUUGCCAAGCCGCGAGGCGGAGCUAAUCCCAUCAAAGGCGCCCCCAGUUCGGAUUGGAGGCUGCAACUUGCCUCCAUGAAGUUGGAAUUGCUAGUAAUCGCGGAUCAGAAUGCCGCGGUGAAUACGUUCUCGAGUUUUGCACACACCGCCCGUC